rnacentral:rRNA from 1 species
GAACGGGUGACUUUNACGUGAGUAACCUGCCCUUGACUCUGGGAUAAGCCUGGGAAACUGGGUCUAAUACCGGAUAUGACUCCUCAUCGCAUGGUGGGGGGUGGAAAGCUUUUGUGGUUUUGGAUGGACUCGCGGCCUAUCAGCUUGUUGGUGGGGUAAUGGCCUACCAAGGCGACGACGGGUAGCCGGCCUGAGAGGGUGACCGGCCACACUGGGACUGAGACACGGCCCAGACUCCUACGGGAGGCAGCAGUGGGGAAUAUUGCACAAUGGGCGCAAGCCUGAUGCAGCGACGCCGCGUGAGGGAUGACGGCCUUCGGGUUGUAAACCUCUUUCAGUAGGGAAGAAGCGUAAGUGACGGUACCUGCAGAAGAAGCGCCGGCUAACUACGUGCCAGCAGCCGCGGUAAUACGUAGGGCGCAAGCGUUAUCCGGAAUUAUUGGGCGUAAAGAGCUCGUAGGCGGUUUGUCGCGUCUGCUGUGAAAGACCGGGGCUCAACUCCGGUUCUGCAGUGGGUACGGGCAGACUAGAGUGCAGUAGGGGAGACUGGAAUUCCUGGUGUAGCGGUGAAAUGCGCAGAUAUCAGGAGGAACACCGAUGGCGAAGGCAGGUCUCUGGGCUGUAACUGACGCUGAGGAGCGAAAGCAUGGGGAGCGAACAGGAUUAGAUACCCUGGUAGUCCAUGCCGUAAACGUUGGGCACUAGGUGUGGGGGACAUUCCACGUUUUCNGCGCCGUAGCUAACGCAUUAAGUGNCCCNCCUGGGGAGUACGGCCGCCAAGGCUAAAACUNAAAAGGAAUUGANGGGGGCCCNCACAAUCGGCGGAGCAUGCGGGAUUAAUUC